CUGGAGGGCCCAUAUACUUGGUCGAUUACCAUUAAAACCCUUAUUGCAUAAAAUUUGCUGUAUAUCAGAUGACUCCAAUGGAACACGAAGAAACAAGCAGCCUUUUUGAAUCUUAGCUCCAACAUCUAAUGGUUUCUCAAGAAAAUUUUGUCAGGCAUGCUGCAAUCCUUAUUGAAAUCACAGGAAACUGGUAUGAGAGAAACUUGGAAAGGUGAAAAUUCAAAAGAUCCAUCAUGAUAGGCACCUUCAAGCUUUUUAGCUGCCUUUCUGAAUACUCUUUCCGGAGAUACAUCAAAGAUUAAGGUUGAAUUUGGCCAGCCAAGCCUAUAAGGCCGAGUAUCCAUCCCAUCUGUUAGCAAAACAACCUGCAGGAUAUGACUAGAAUUCUAUAUAUUCACAAAUCAGCAUAACCAAUCAAUGGAGCAUGUAAAAGCAUCACACCAUACCUGCCUGAGUCUGUCCCGAUCGUUCAUUGUCAUAAGCAAUUUAUCAUCAACAAACUUUGUUGCAAGGCAAUAAUGGCGGAGGUAACGCCCCAUAUCCAUUGGGAUAUUGUCAGGAACAAAACAACCAGCAUAUUGGUCAAGAAAAAGAGGAUCUGCAAGUGCAAGCGUACAUCCUCAUUCAUCGAGCAAUUCUCCUUAUAACAAGUAUGAAAGAUCAAGAACAUAUGAA